rnacentral:lncRNA from 1 species
GCUGACUGCAGCUGACCGACUUACGUCAUCGUGUUACUGACACCUUAUCGUUAUGAGUGUGUCACUCAUAACACAUUAUUGUACAAUGUUUGCAAAAUCUUUCUAUCGGGGAUAUAAUAUACAAUUUAUAUACAAUAAAUGUAAUAAAUAAUUUAAUAGUACAAAUUUAUAAUCGUCGGUCUGUAAAUAUGGUUAUAAGAGUAAGCGGAGAGUAACCCGUAACGCGAUAAUUACAUGAGAAUGAGCGAGAAAGUAAUGAAAGCGAGCAAGACGACAACAGAAUCUAAAGAGCGAGCGAAACAGUAAUAGAAACGAGCGAGAUAAGAAUAACAGCACGAGAAGAAGGCUCGAAGCUCGAGCGACUCGAGGCUCGAGACUUUCCCCCACUUUUCGUCUUGUAUUUUUAUCUCGCUCGUUCCUAUUACCGUCUCGUUCGUGCUUCAAGCUCUCUUAUUGUCGUCUCGCUCACUCUUAUUACCUUCUCGCUCACUCUCAUAUAGCUGUCGCUUUGUGUACAUAGCACGGAACGCAACCUAAAAAUUGUGCAUAUGAGUUACCCUUCGGAUACUGGUUGUAGUUCAUAUCCAUGUCGUUAAUGUCCUGAGGGCGCUCACCGGCUAAAACCGACUCGCAACGUCGCUCUAGCGUUUCGCUGAUGUGCGCUACUCCUUCUCCUGCCACAUCUAUGUGGCAAAACUCUGAAAUGUGCAACACUGACGGCGAUCAUCUGUUGUAUGGAAUCAUCCCGCGUAGAUGAUCUUCCGCGAUGUCGGUUUCCCCUCAAUACGGGGUCCCCGUGUACGGUGUCGGGAUCGGUCGCUCAGUGCGCGUACCAGGAUCCGGGUGACGAGCGGGGCGGUGGUCUGCCACUCAGUAUGUGGCGCGAGGAAGCGCUCAGUGCGCACUGGCAAGGAAGCCGGUUCUAGGUUCUAGGUUAUGUCGGCACUCACUUCGUGCACUAGGAGUCUCAGUUCAAUACGCUGAGAGGAUCGGUCGGCUCACUUCGCUAGAUUGGGGAGAUCUGCUCUCUUAUCACCAGCGGAGGGCUAUUAUAGCUUCCGUUUAGUGACAAAAGGAGCGGAGAUGUGCGGGGGAACGAGAUAAGCAGAGGGGACUACACGAGGUAGGAAGGUAACGGCCUCGUAUCUUUGUGCCUUAACGACGGCGGAGGAACGGCUCGUUACAAAAUUAUGCAAACAUCUACUGCCAAUACCACUGAGGGCACGACUGAUAAUGGCCCUAAUUGUGCCCUAUUUUGAUUACUGCUGUGCAGCACAAAGGAACAUUACUAUGGAGAACAACCUAAAACUGCAACAGAGCAUUCAAUGCUUUUGUUCGAUUUAUAUACUAGGCAAAGUGGAAUGAGUAUAUAACCUCCUACUUCAACAGAGCGCUACAUCUCUGGAACAGUCUACCGUCUCAUAUAAGGAGUUCAGACACCGUAGAGGGAUUUAAGUCCAGGCUGUAUAGGUAUCUGUUGGAUGGUCGUAAAUAAAAUGGUUUGAGCGACGGAAAUGGGGAAGCUAGCUGUGCUGUGUAUUAAGCUUGCAGAGAACAUAAUUGCGAGCGACACACUGUAUAUAUUAUGUAUUAUACUUUUAUUAUUAUGUUAACGUUUCUAUAGCAAGCAAAUCAAAAAGCUAAAAUAAUGUGUAUUACAUGUAUCAAAUUGUCUCUGCGCUUAAAAGGAUGCAAUCCUGGAGCGCGUAAUAAAUGCCACUAUCUAUCUA